GAUGAAGAACGUAGCGAAAUGCGAUAACUAAUGUGAAUUGCAGAAUUCCGUGAAUCAUCGAGUCUUUGAACGCACAUUGCGCCCCCUGGUAUUCCGGGGGACAUGCCUGUCCGAGCGUCAUUGCAACCCUCAAGCACGGCUUGUCUAAUGGGCGGUUCGUCUGCGGCCAUCCGCCGGAGACGCCCCCGAAAUGCAGUGGGGAUGUUCGCUAAAUCGCAGCGUCAGGAAUGGAAAUAAACAAUGCUGACGGCUCGAUGUCGAACGUCCACCUAAGGCGUGCCGCCCACCGGGGUGUGCCGCCCAACCUCUCUCGGUUGACCUCGGAUCAGGUAGGGAUACCCGCUGAACUUAAGCAUAUCAAUAAGCGGAGGA
rnacentral:misc_RNA from 1 species